rnacentral:lncRNA from 1 species
CAACUCAUCCUCAGACAUGCCUUCCACAUGCAAGACAGUCAUCCUGCAGGAACUCGGCAGCAGCCCAGGUCGGGAGAGUUCGAUUUCUGUGGUCAUCUGCCCUCCUCAGCUGUGAGUUCACCCUUCCGAUGCGAAGGCAGUGGCUGGGGCAGGGAGCAUGUGCACGGGUCACAGGGGGACGGAGCCCAAGCUCAGAGCUCUGCUGGAUCCCAGCCCAUCUUCACACAGUAG